rnacentral:rRNA from 1 species
AUACGGAGGAUGCGAGCGUUAUCCGGAUUUAUUGGGUUUAAAGGGAGCGUAGGUGGGAUAUUAAGUCAGCUGUGAAAGUUUGGGGCUCAACCUUAAAAUUGCAGUUGAUACUGGUUUCCUUGAGUACGGUAUAGGUGGGCGGAAUUCGUGGUGUAGCGGUGAAAUGCUUAGAUAUCGCGAAGAACUCCGAUCGCGAAGGCAGCUCACCGGGCCGGAACUGACACUGAUGCUCGAAAGUGCGGGUAUCAAACAGGAUUAGAUACCCUGGUAGUCCGCACAGUAAACGAUGAAUACUCGCUGUUUGCGAUACACGGUAAGCGGCCAAGCGAAAGCGUUAAGUAUUCCACCUGGGGAGUACGCCGGCAACGGUGAAACUCAAAGGAAUUGACGGGG